UUUUGCCUCUCGCGGAGACCGAUGGGUCCCGUCAUGAGGCUGCAUGCGUUUUAAAUCCUACUGCCCGGAGACAAAGGUGAGCGCCGGCAGUUUGAUCCGUCCAAAGUUCAAAGAUCUGAAAUCUCAAAGAGUUUCUGUUGGAGGUGAAGGGGAGGAACACAAACACGGCGGCACGGCUCGGGCCGGGCGCUGAGCGGUGCGGGGCGAAACGCGGCGUUAUGUACACUAAUGUGCCCUUAACUGCGACUUUGUCACAAUGGGCAGAGUAAUUAGCAGAAAAUGACCAGGGAGAACAAAGAGUGACCGAACACGCAUAGGCACACCUAUGUGCCCGGAUCCCGCUUUAUCCCAGCGGAGAAGAAUUAAUACUAGGUGCGCUACUAUCGCAACCAAGCGUUUUAGCUAUAGUAUCGCUGUCAUAUUAGACGAAAUUAAAUUGCUUCUUAAAGGAGAGUUGGAGCUGCAGCGACAGGAUGCCUUUAUUUCUGGUUUAGCCAUCCAAGUCUUCUGCAUCAACUCCACCAUUCAAACCAACAACUGAAGCCACGCCAAAGGCUGAAGUGUCUUCUUGCGCCGUCCCUUUACGAGUUACUUUUCUCGACGCGACUCAGUUUCAAAGAGAAAAAUAAGAGAAUAAUUUUUCCUCGUCUUUCAGCCUCGAAAAUUUUAAAUUAAUUCCUACCAAUAAAUACACACCCGCGGCUGUGCGCCGAUGUAGGUGCCACUGUUGUCCCUCCGGACCCCGACACCACACCGAAACGUUCAUGUGCCUUUAUUCCCACCCCCGAUUUGGGUGAUGGAAGAGCUUUUAUCCUACCGAGACCCGUGGGGGGGUGUCGGGUCGGAGGGACCCGGACAGCGCUGCGGGGGCCUCGCGGUGCCCGGGAGGACAGUGGAGUCGGGGGGCAGCGCCGGCCCCACAGAACAACCGGGAUCACUGCCGGCCCCCUCGCUGUGUACGGUUCUCAGCGCCCACGCUCUGCGUGGGUGUGCAGCGAUCCCCAC
ensembl:lncRNA